rnacentral:lncRNA from 1 species
GCAGCAAGCUGUCGCGAGAGGUGCGUUCAGAGCUGGUGCACGGCUAACGGCUUACAUUCUUGCCUGUGUUCUUGCGUCUGAUGUGUUCCUGUUCUGCCCCAACAGAGCCUGUCCGAAGCACGUCUCGUGGGGUCCUCCAGCAGCAAGCUGUCGCGAGAGGUGCGUUCAGAGCUGGUGCACGGCUAACGGCUUACAUUCUUGCCUGUGUUCUUGCGUCUGAUGUGUUCCUGUUCUGCCCCAACAGAGCCUGUCCCAAGCACGUCUCGUGGGGUCCUCCAGCAGCAAGCCGUCGCUAGAGAGCCUGUCCCAAGCACGUCUCGUGGGGUCCUCCAGCAGCAAGCCGUCGCUAGAGAGCCUGUCCCAAGCACGUCUCGUGGGGUCCUCCAGCAGCAAGCCGUCGCUAGAGGUGCGUUCAGAGCUGGUG